rnacentral:misc_RNA from 1 species
GAUGAAGAACGUAGCGAAAUGCGAUAAGUAAUGUGAAUUGCAGAAUUCAGUGAAUCAUCGAAUCUUUGAACGCACAUUGCGCCCGCCAGUAUUCUGGCGGGCAUGCCUGUUCGAGCGUCAUUUCAACCAUCAAGCCCUGCUUGCGUUGGGGUCCUGCGGCUGCCCGCAGGCCCUGAAAACCAGUGGCGGGCUCGCUAGUCACACCGAGCGCAGUAAUACAUCUCGCUUUGGGCGUGCGGCGGGUUCUUGCCGUUAAACACCCCCUUUUUCCCAAGGUUGACCUCGGAUCAGGUAGGAAUACCCGCUGAACUUAAGCAUAUCAAUAAGCGGAGGA